rnacentral:rRNA from 1 species
UACAGAGGGUGCGAGCGUUAAUCGGAUUUACUGGGCGUAAAGCGUGUGUAGGUGGCUUCCUAAGUCGAUUGUGAAAUCCCUGGGCUCAACCUGGGAAUUGCAGUCGAUACUGGGGAGCUCGAGUUCGGUAGAGGACGGCGGAAUUCCCGGUGUAGCGGUGAAAUGCGUAGAUAUCGGGAGGAGCAUCGAUGGCGAAAGCAACCGUCUGGGCCUGAACUGACACUGAGACACGAAAGCGUGGGGAGCAAACAGG